rnacentral:rRNA from 1 species
GAUGAACGCUGGCGGCGCGCCUAACACAUGCAAGUCGAACGAUUAAAGCACCUUCGGGUGUGUAUAAAGUGGCGAACGGCUGAGUAACACGUGGGCAACCUGCCCCCCUCAUUGGGAUAGCCACGGGAAACCGUGGAUAAUACCGAAUACUUCGGGACUUCCGCAUGGAAGACUCGAGAAAGCUCCGGCGGAGAGGGAUGGGCCCGCGGCCUGUUAGCUUGUUGGUGGGAUAAUGGCCUACCAAGGCAAUGAUGGGUAGCUGGGCUGAGAGACCGACCAGCCAGAUUGGGACUGAGACACGGCCCAGACUCCUACGGGAGGCAGCAGUGGGGAAUCUUGCACAAUGGGCGGAAGCCUGAUGCAGCGACGCCGCGUGCGGGAUGAAGGCCUUCGGGUUGUAAACCGCUUUCAGCAGGGACGAGGCGAAAGUGACGGUACCUGCAGAAGAAGCCCCGGCUAACUACGUG